rnacentral:lncRNA from 1 species
GGUUGACCAAAAUAGUUUCCUAAAAGAACUAUUGAUGAUUUAUUGGCAUUAGGGCCUAUAACUCCAAGGGUAUUUACUCUUGGAAGUGGGAGAAUUGAGGCAGUGUUUUUUAAAAGUACAAUGCCACUUCUUGCAGCUUCAAGAGCAAGGUCUAGGUUUUCUUUAGAGCAUACUUGAUUUGGACCAAUUCUGCCAUAUUGGAGUUUGGUUGGAUUCCCAUCAAACAAGCCUAGUCUUAUUCUAAUGGUGAAUAGAUUGUGUAGGGCACGGUCGAUUUGAGAUAUAGGAAUUUUUUUUUGUAAUACUGCUGACUUUGCAUGCUUUGUCAUGUAGUUACCACACUCUACGUCCAUCCCUGAAAAGUUUGAUUACACAACAUGUAAUUCGCCUUGAUUAUAAUAGUACUUGUGUAUGUUUGAAAUUAUGGCGAGUUUGACAAAAUUACAAUGAUACUAUGAUUUUGUUGAAAAGUUCUAAAGUAUAACUUGUGCGGAAAUAACGGUAGCUAGUACAAUGUGAUUCUCCUAAAUUCAUCAACAAUCCAAACAUUCACUAAUUCUAAAUUCAUUUUCUGUUACAAAAUAAAGAUAACUGUGAUUAUAGACCUUAGAGAUAAAGAGGUUUGACAUAAACUAAAACUAAGACAAAUAAAGUGUGAUUAUAAAGCUUAAGGUAUUAAAUGUCCAAAUAGAGUACAAUUAAGACAAGUAAUGUAAUCAUAAAACUUAAAGAGUGCAUGAGUGAAUCUUAAUUUAUCUUAGACAGUUGCAAACUUCUUCACUACAAGACAUAAAUGAGCCCACUUACAAACAAAAUACAAAAGAAGAAGGAAGUCACAACUUUAACUACAAACUAUGAUGAAAAUACACAUAUAAAUUGCAUACAAAUCUACAUUAUCACCAACUUUUUUCCAAUGGAGACUAUGAUGGGCAUUGGGCCAUGACCACCAUUGAUGGCUUAGAAUGGCUUGCCUCAUAUAUAUGGGGAGUGGGAACUAAUGAUGGCUUAGAAUGGCAUGUGUCAUAUAUGUGUGGUCCAAUGGAAAUGUAGGCCAAACCAUGUGACUUAAUAUAAGCAAAAAUUGUAAACCGACAAAAAUACCAAUGAGAAAAGUGCCUUCCAUUGAGACCAUUGAUAAAGUAAGAUAACGAUAGUUUUAGGUCACAUUGUCAUUGUGAUUUCAUUUAGUUAUAAAUCAAUUCUAAAACAUAUAAAAGUUAAAGUAAAUUUUGAUAGAAUCCAUAAACACAUAAUAGUUAUAUUUAUCUACUUCUGAUUAUGACAUAAACAAAGGAAGAGUGAAAGUAUACCAGCUCGAAGUACAUCGGCUACAACAUCCUCUGGUGUUUUUGCAUAACCUUGUUUUUCAUAUAUGAAUCGAACUGCGUCACAAUCCGACGCAAUAUACCUGAUUUAACAGCCAAAAUCAUUCAUACUAAUCAAGUAAUUAAAAAUUAAAUUUCAAUUUCACAUUUUGAUGAAUCAUACAUUAUAAAUAUGUAGCUUCAAAAAGAGAGAAAACUGAAAAUUUGGAAUUGAAAACUGUUUCACCAACUAAGUAGGCCAUGCUCAUACCUUUAAUAGAGUGGAAAACAUUGUUUCAUAAAGGAGAUAUUGUUUAAUAGAACAUAUGUUUUUAAAUAUAUUGUUGAAUUCUUAUAAAAUUUACAUUUUUGUACACACUUUUAAAUAUCUAAAAAUGACAAAACUACAUAUUUUCUGUUUCCACUUUUGUAAUUUAUAAGAACUAAAAAGUAGAUUUAAGAAUUAAUAAAACAAAAUUGAAAUAAUUAUAUAUACCCAUUGAAAUUCCAUUUUUUCCUUGCCGUAUUGGUUAAAAGAUUGUAAUCUGCACAGUUUGGAACUCCAUUGACACGGUUGUAAGCACACAUGAUUCCACUAGAUCGUCCUUGUACCACGCAACUAUGAAAUGAGGGUUGAUAUGUAUCUGCCAAAUCUUGUAAAGUAACCUGAAUUAUUAGAAUGGAACCUGAAUUAUUAGAAUGGAUUUGGAUUAUUAAAAUGGAAAAAAGUUAAAAGUUGAAGAAUAUAAGAAUAAGAAUCAUUAGCAUAACAGUAUAUAGAAAAAAUAUCAUAUCAUUUUUGAAUUUCAAAAUUAAAUUAACUGUUCUUUUGCAAGUCAUGAUUCAAUUUCCAAGGAUUCAUCAACGAGAUAAAACAAAGCAUGCUUUGCAGUCUGCACAACACAACAAACAAAACUCAAAGACAAAUUUGAGGACGGCUUGUCUAAUAAGCACAAGCCGGUUUUGUGGGAUUGUGUUAGGCCUCAACCACGAUUUUAAGAAUGCUAGACUUAUCGUAAUUGUUCACCAUAGAAUUAAUCAUCGAAGGACUAAACCAUAGAGAAAAGAAAACUUACUUUGGCAUCGAAAACAUAACGAUUCACACCCUUCCAAUUUUCCAAAUCAUAGGCAGUAAAGUGUUUGCAACAAGCAGAAGCUUUAAGACGACCUCCAAUCAGUUUCCCACCUUCAAAGGAAUCACCUUGAAGUCCUCUCACAUAGGAAACACCAUACUUUGAAUUUACCAAAGGAUCUUCACCAGCUGUUUCUUGUCCUCUUCCCCAUCUUGGGUCCCUAAAUAUGUUUAUGUUUGGUGCCCAAAACGUCAUCCCUUGAGCUUGUCCAGCAUUGUACACUCCUCUAGCCUCAGUUCCAAUCACCUUCAUUCAUACAACACAUAAUAAUAAUUACAAUACAAACAAUACUCGGGUAUCUGCUUGGUGACUGACGUGACAGACUACUUCAGGAGACUAAUCUCACGGCCCAUUAGUAGAAUUCAUUUGAAAUCAUAACCAUGUAUGAACCCACUCAAUACUAUAAUUGUUCGCCACAAUCCCAUCGGGAAACUCUGAGAUUGGGUAAGUACCUAUGAAGCAAAGACACUCCCUGAAUUAGUCGUGUCCCGGUACCGACACGACACGGAGACUUAUAAUUACACUGAAUUAUAUGAUUUUUUUUAAAAUUAUUAGUAGUGUUGGUGUGUCUGUAUCCGUGUCGUGUCCUGUGUCCGUGUCUGGAUCCGUGCUUCAUAGGAAGUACCGAAACUUAUUUACUAAAUACUAAAUGAAAACUAUAAUUUUAAUCUUCAACAAAAAUCCAAACAUGGGUUAAAUGAUUUGCAUGAAACUAUUUUAACCAACAACAUUUUGUCAAACAUGGGUUAAAAGAGUUACUAACCUUACUGAUUCGGUACCAAAGUUUGGGAUCAAAAGAAGCUGCUAUGAGAAUAAUUUGAGGGAAACUAGUUGCAGCUGUAAUACUACCAUUCAAUCUUAUCCCCUUACCAACAUAAGAAACACCAUGCAAAGCUUCAUUCCACCAUUGGUAACUCGGUAUACCGAGUCGAGGAAUGGCAGGAGCUGUGUUAACGAGUUGAGAGAUUUUCUCAUCCAAUGUGAGCCGUGACACGAUGUCUUUUGCUCUUUGAGUGAUGGUAAGGUUGAGAUUGCAGAAUGGAAAGGAUUUUGUAAGUGGGUUGGAGGUGUCACAGGAGUAAGGGGGUACAUUAGUAGCAAGUGAAUCGGCAUGAACGAGUCGGUGGUAGCGAGUUAAGAAGAGAAAAAUGAAAGUAAUGGUGAUGGAAAAGUGACCCAUGCUGUGAGGGAUGUAUGCAACGUGCUAAACAGAGUACAGAGCAUGUGUAUUUAUAUAGGUACAUGUGUCUGUCUUUGAUUUGGACUGAUACUUACGUGUGUCUGUUUUUAGCCUCUUUUUCAUUCUUUGACUAAUUUUUCUGAGAUUUGGUUUCUAUUUUGUUCGUUAAACUAACCAGCGAGAUUGCCAUAUGUCACGCACUGAUUCACUUAAUCAAACUCAGCCACCAAACGUACAAACGUUGUAAAUCUCAGAACCAAGUAUACGUUGGAAAAAUAAGUUGGAAAAAAAAAACUUGGAUUUAUAUGUUAAGGUGAUUGAUGAAGCAAGCAUACAUAAGUGCAAUCAGCAUUAGUCGGUAAAAUGCAUAAUAGGUUGCAUCAGCGGGGGUAAAGAUAUUAUUAUGUAAGAUGUUGUUUGAUUUGUUUUAUUUUUAAAAUAAUAAAUUUUUAUAAUUUUUUACUUUAAAUAAUUAAAAUAUUAUCGGUUAAAAUUGUGUAUUGACAUAUGUGAACAGAUUGACUUGAACAUGUAUUUUGAAACGGAUGGAGUAUAUCAUAAUCAAAUAAAUACAAACAUAAAAAAAAAUAUAAAAUUUAUACCUAUUAAUAAAGAUUAUGACAUAAUAUCAUCAACUCUGUUUGCAUGUUAAAGAUACCAACAAUAAAAUAGUACCUGUAAAUCCAAGAUGUUGAAAGCAUUACUAGAUGAAUUACUAUUGAUCAUUAAUCAGUAAUCAACAAUUUAAAAAUGAAUUAAACAUUAAGAUCAAAAUUAACUUUUCCAGAAAAGUCAGUUUCCUGACUGCAUCGUAGAAGCUCCCUUUUUUUAAUACCUAAACGCCCUUUUUCAAUUAUAUUUUUCACACUAUUAACUUCUCAUCACACACAAUCAAUUAAUUUUUAACCCCGGUUACUUACUUCCCAUUAACUUCUCACCUCGCACAAUUGUUAAUGAGAAUUGCUGUUUACACUUUACAUAAGGCUGUGCCACACAAGUAUUUUACUCUUUUGCCCCCUCAGCAGUAAACUGCCGAGGAAUUUGAAAUCCGACUGCAGUUAACUACCGAGGAAAACCUCGGUAGUAAACUGCCGAGGAAAACUGAUUAUGCAGACAACAAGUUCUGCAUAAUUCUAAACAUUUCCAAGCCAUUUUUUCGGCCAGUUUUUACCUGUAAUUAAACCAGAGCAUUUCCAAAGGCAAAAUAAUUCAUACAAGAUUGAAACUCGGACAUAAACAAGAUAAAUACAAUAUCUUAUACAAUUGUUCAUAAUUAAAUUAAACCGACAUUUGGUUAAAAUUAAACAAACGUUUGAAAUUCAUCAAAACAUUACAAAGUGUUCAUAAUUAAACAACUCAUUACACAUCAUUAAAUUAAAUCCCUACUUACAUUCAACGCAAUUGCAUAUGGAACGAACAUACAUAUAUAAUAUAUUAUUUUCCACCAUAUUCUGAAACAUAAAUCCGACGUCGACGUCGUCGCGAAUAAGCAAAGGCAUAUCGCUUGCUGUUUUCCACGCGUAUUCAUCUCUAUCUUCUCCUAGGGCUAUGCAUGGCAUUUGACCAAACAAGUGACGUGUAUAUUGAUUUUCACCAAGAUGCUCAAAAUAAGUGUUAAGUUGUGCCUUCAAAUUGUCAAGAGAGUCCGUCAGCGUUAUUGAUAAGAUAAAACCGCAAGUGCACGGUCUUACCGAAGUAGUAUGAAAAGAGUAUCGUUCCGACAGGGAAUAGUUUAAUUGAAUUAACCUUUGACAAUGAUUAGAGGAGAAAAGAGUUGUAAGUUGGGGUUUUCAAGCAAUUGAAAGAUAAUAAUAAUAAAAGGAGCAUUGGGAUCAUUGGUUCAUCUAAAUAACAAGUCCUUCACAAACCAAACUAUAAGCUUAUAACUUUAUGUUAGACCUAAUUUCUCAAGACAGUUUCUAUUGUGUUCCUUUAGCAACCAAGCCUAUUUCGAUGACCUGAUUACUAUUAGAUUUUGGUUCCUCUAACAACCAAGCCUAUUUCGCUGACUUGAUCAUUAUUAGUUCCCUUGAAGAUCGAAACUAUAUGUCUCAAAGAUUGCAAAGACUAUUUCGCUGCCUUUGCAAUCCUUGUCUAAAUUCACUUGUUCGAAUAUCAAAGCUCCACUUUCGUUUUAUGAAUUGAUAUUUGAGAUAAUGGAUAAACAAUUAUCAAACCCUCCACUUUCGUUUCCACAGUUUGAUAAUGGUUGAUCCAUGUUAAAGCGGUGAAUUUAGAUAAGAAAUUAGGGUUACAUAAGAUUAAGGCUUAGAGCUUGGCUUGAUUAGGAUUAUGUCAUUUAGACUUAUCCAACAAUCCCAAGACAAAGAGAAGUCUACUCACUCAUGUUCAUCGUAGACAUGGGGAAGAAGAGAGAAAGCAUAAAAGUAAAUGACAAGAAAAUAAAGGAAAAGGAAAGAACUUUUAUUAGAAAAGCAAUUGUCACUUAUUGAAUUCCAAGAAAAGAUGAAUAUUUGUGAUGGAUAGCUACUCUAUUUAUAGCAUACAUUCGACUUAAAAUCUAAGCAAUUACAUUACUGGAAUGUUCCACAAGAAACUACGGGCUAAAAUAGAGUAGCUUAAAAUCUAAGCAAAAGCAGCAAAAGUGACUCUGGAGGGUGGCACGGCCGUGCCAAUGCUAGCACGUGUCGUGCCAAGCUUCUGACUUUGGGGAGACAUAUUUUUGUCUCUGAAUCUUCGUAUUUUCGUACUAAAUCAGCUCCAAGUCCCUUUCUUUUGCUACAAGACUCAAUCCAUCCAAUAUUCGUUCCUGAAAUAUAAUAAAGUGCAAUUUGUAGUAAACUAACUCAAAAAAGAAAUAAUACUAAUAUAAAAUAGAAUCUAUUUAAAACUAAACUAAAUAACAUAUAAAAAUAGAUAUUAAAUCACUCAUCAGUUAUCAUAACCUUAACCGUCUUUUUAAACGCGGAGUACCUAACACGCCCUUCAAUUUGUGCAACCUCAGACAUGUCUCACUUGAAAAAAGCUUUAAGAAAAGAAUCAUAUAUUAGAACAAAAUUAAAUGGAAUGUAAUAAUGAAUAAAUCAAAUGCGUAAACAUUAAUAAGCUAUAAAUAAGUAUUGCAUUAGUUUCACCACAUAAAAGUCAUAUUAUCAUAUAUAUAUAUAUAUAUAUAUAUAUAUAUUAGUUAUAUAUUGGCCACAAAAAAUUGGCGUUACAAUUUCGACCCCAAAAUAUACUUUGGUGUAAUUUCUACCAAAAAAAAGGACUAACACCGACAAAAAAUCACUCAUUAAAGACCAAGUGAUUGGAGAAGAUCAAGUGACAUAGAAUCUUCCUCAUCUUCCGCAAUAACAUCAAAUUGUUGCUUUGGUUUUUCGGGAGUGUCCAACAAAAUAGGCGCCGCUUUGUUUGACUCCUUUUGUGGUUUGGACGGUUUGUUUCCACUUUCAAUAGCCAUGAGCUUUCGGAACAACUCAUGUUGAUCCAAAUACUCAUCUUCCCAAGUCACCGUAUCUUCUUUUUUGUGAUUGUGCCAAUCCGUAGAUGAUGGAGGUAGUGGACAACCAUUCUUCAAAUAAAUAAACACGAAAUGAUUCGGAAUUGCCCCAAGGCACAAGAUGGGAGUUUUUUGAUUACCCGGCGGUGGUGGCCCUCUUAGUGGGAAAAAAGAUUCAGAGUUUCCAACUUCAAGAUUUGUCAACAUGACCACACACAUUUUGUAAUAAUUAGCAACAAUGUGUCCCAUCUCCGGAAAAGUCAACCACUUAUCAACAAGAUGUGCACAAGUUUUUGUAUUUGCGGGAGGAUGUAAGCCGUUUAAAAUGUAGUUAUAACGAUCCUCACCCGCAAAUACUUCAACAUAAUCAUCUUUAUGAUCUAUCAACUCUUGAAUAAGAUGUGUACGGAUCAUGAGAUGAUUUUUUUCAGUCAAGCCCAUGAACUCGGCUAUAGCCCGGAAUCCACAAUGUCCAUCGCCGAUAACAUCCAUCACUUUUUCAAUAAAUGGAAGCAUGAAGUGUGGCAUAUAAUCAAUAGGACGCAUAACCGGGAUAGCCUUAGGCUUUGGAUACCGAGUAGGUGGUGGAAGUGGGGAAAGUGAUGUUUUACCAAGACGAGUACCUUUUUUUCUUUUAUACGAUGAUGUUGUUGGUGAUGGUGACGGUUGGCUAUCUGGAUUUUGGGAAUCAACAACCUCCCACGAAGAAGGGAUCCGACUAGUCGAUGUAAUUUUUCCUUUAGACCUCGCAAUGUCGAAUUUUUUCUUUGCUCCCUUGGUUGGUACUUUUCGUGGUGGUGGAGACAUCAAGGUGGUUUCAGGAAAUGCCAACUGCCGUAAACCCUCUUUGACCUCAAGCUUCAUUUGGAAAGGGAGUUUCUUUAGACGUUCUACAAUAGCCUUCAACUCAACCUCGACACAAAAAGCAUCUUCGUUACUUUCUUCACCCAUAGAUAACCUAAGCCAAUGGUGGUAUAUCUCAUCCAAUAAAAUUGGCUUCUCUUCAAGGAGCUUAGUAGCAAUUUCGCAUGCACUUGGUAGCCCGUAAGAUGUCCUUUGAACACAACCACAAAUGUCAUUGUCCAUGCACAAUGUUUCUGAUAAGUGCUAGAAAGUUGUAUUUUAAGUGAUAUAUUUUAGGCACUUUUGUUACUUGUUUUGCAAGUUAUUGAGGGAAAAGCCGAGAAAUAAGUGAUUAUUGCCCUUUUACGCUUUAUCUAUCUUACUUCACCCAUUUGUGCAGGAUUCGAACUCAAGACAUCAAGCAAAGAGAAGAAAAUGGAGAAGAGUACAAAAAGGUAGAAAAAUGAGAUCACUCGCCUCCAACUUGCCAUGGCAAGCAUCAAAGGCGAGCAAUUCCAGUAAGCAUCAAAGAUCCUUCGCCUCCACCUCGCCAUGGCAAGCAUCAAAGGCGAGCAAUUCCAGUAAGCAUCAAAGAUCUUUCGCCACCAACUCGCAAUGGCGAGUGGAAGGCGAGAAAACUCGCCAUGGCGAGUGGAAUGACUCGCGAGGCGAGUUAGGGCGGUUUAGCCUCUCACAGCUGACGUGGCACAAACCCAAUGGCGAAGGAACCUCAACUCGCCAUGGCGAAUGAAUGAGCUCGCGAGGCGAGUUGAUGCAGAGUCAGAAUUGUAUAAAUAGCCCACUCAACCAUUUCAUUGAUAUAUAGUUUUUACUUAGUUUUUCUCUGAGUUUUUUUCACUUGUAAUGUUUCUAGAGAGAUAGAUAGGGCUUGUUCUUCAUAGAGUGAGAGUGAUAGAGAGUGGAUUCUUCAUUCUUUGUUGAGAAAUCACAAGUUGUAAAUGAAUCUUUCUCCUUCAAUUCAUUCUUGCAAGGCUUCCAUGACAAUGAGUAGCUAAAUCUCCUUUGUUGGGAUUAGAGGUACUUGAUCUUAGCUUAACAUGUAAUCUUUUGAUCUAUAAAUAUAUGGUUCUAGCAUUUGAUUUGAUAUUGAUGUUAUUCUUGCACUUUAAUCUUUAUCUUUGAUUUAAUUGUGAUUGAGAAAUACUUUUGAAUCUAGGUUUAGAAUAACCAUCUAUCAAAACAUAGGUUCUAGACAUGGAAUCGAUGUUUUGAUAAUCACUUUGUGUAUCCAAACCUAAAGCUUUCUUAGCAUUCAAUAGAUCGAGAAAUCAUCGAUUGGACGAUAAGAUCGACUCUUGAAUCAUUCAAUAGUUUGAGACAUCGACGAUUGAAUGAUACAAUUGAUUUCACAAUAUUGUUUGGACACGAAUAGUGUUGUCGAGGGAUACGUGAUAAUAUCAAAGAAAAGCUAGAAUCGAUGUAUGAUCAUUAGGUUACGUGCGACGCUUGAUCAAGGAACUCUAAUCCUAACAAGUUUCACGCCCUAUUAAUCUCAAUUUUAUCGUUUGCAAAUGAGUUACUAAAACAAACAACCAAUUAUCUUUUUAACUUGGAAUGGUAUUUGGUGUCGAACGGUCCGCGAUAUCGCACUAGUCCCUGAGGAGACGAUAUAAAUACUUACAAUUGUUUGAUGCAAAAAUACUACAUCAGUUUCCCUACAACGUGUCUCUUCCAAAGCAAUGUUGUCCAAAACAUAUCUAGACACAUGACCACCUAACCCCGAGUACAAAGUGACAUCUUUGAAUCUAUGUUCCAACACGCUAACGCUGUGACCAAAGGAUGUCUGUAUAGCAGUGAACUGAAGCAACAACAUGCCAUGUAUUUUCUCCCAACAACUACCCAAAUCACCCACACUAUUGUCCAAGUAUUUCUUCAAUAAAGCAUGAGCCGAUUCGACCAUGUUCGUGGUCCUGCAACCAAGAUGCAACACAUGGUCUGUCCAUGCCCUCACAAUUUUGUCCUUCACUUCAUUCAAGGUAGUCAUGGCAUAAUUUUCAAAAAUUGGGAAAUCACUACAUGAAUCUUUGAACUCCACUAAUGCAUUUGCAUAUAAAUGUUGAGUGGCCGAUUCAACCAUAGCUUUCCAUGCCUUCAUUAUCUUCUUGACAACAUCGCGAUUGCUCGCCUCUUUCCCAUCCUUUUUAAAACCCAAAGGAUAUUUACAAUCUAAGACACACCUUUGUUUAACAUUUGCUUGCACAUGAAAGUAACAAUUCAUUGCAUAACUUUCGGGAAAAACAUGUGCAACCGCUUUCAUCAAAGACAUAUCCCUGUCGGUAACAAUCACCUUAGGCAUAUUCAUCUUUGACGAAAGAAGUUUACGCAACAUUUUUAAAACCCAAAAAAAGUUUUCCUCUUUCUCAUGUGUCAUAAAUCCAAACUCACCCGAAUAUGUCAAAUCGGUCGAAGUGACCCCAACUACCUCAAGCAUUGGCAUCCUAUACAUGUUGGUUUUGUAGGUGGAGUCCAUAACCAAAACCGUUGGAAAAUUGUUAAACAACUUAAUGGAUGUUGGAUGAGCCCAAAAGAUAUCUUCGAUUGUAGUACUCUCACUUUGUGUUCUUGAGUAAUAAGUAUAGUUGUGCUCCUCCAACAUAUAUAGAUAUUAGAUAUUGCAACGGCUUCUUGUCACCUCUAUUUGCCUUCCAUAUUUGUUGACGUUCAUUGUACACUUGCUUCACAUUUGUCAUGCAAUGUGGUCUUUUGUUUUUCAAAUGUAUCAAAAUAUUUCUUGGAAGCAUCUUGCUCUUGGUCAAGUCACGUACAAUCUUCUUGUCGUCCUCCUUUAAUCUACCGGCAAGAAUGUGUCCUUCUAAAGCCGGCUCCAUGGGAUGGUUGUGAACUCCAUUAAGAAUGUUCAAUCCCCAUUCCUUUGUUUGCUUACUUUGAUAUCCACUAAUCAUGAACAAGCACCCACAUUUUCUUGAGCCCGUUCUCGCAUGCUUCGGUUUUUUUUUCAGCACUUUGUGAGUUCCACUCCUUUCACACACUAGCCGGAACAUUGGAUUGAUCAAGCUUGAUCUUUGUGUGACAAUUGUAAAUCCCGCCUUAUUUUCUUGUCGACGCACUCACUCAAGCAAUUCAUCUCUAUUUUUCGACUUAACGUCGUUUGAAAAAACCUAGCCGUGUCGACCUCGUGGGCUUGAAGUGGGAGGACACCGGAGCCGCCAACAUACUUUGAAGCUUCAACAUGGACGGAAGCUCCAUCAAUGUUUGGUUUCGCUUCAACUUUAGGCGGUUUGACAUCUCCGGAAUUUUCGACAAAAUUUUGUUUUCUCUCUCCCGGAACAUUUUUCGCGUUCUCUACCAUUACUAUAAUUAAACAACACAUAAAUAUGAAUUAACAACUAAGUAAUGUAUAAACAUCAAUGCCAUAAUGAAUUAAAACAAAAAAAAAAAACAAAAGAAAAAAAAAUUUGAAAAACUGGCAGUAGCUGCCAUUUUUUCGCUGUGAAAAUUUUUCACAAGAGUUCCUCGACACCUUACUACCGAGGUUUUCCUCGGCACUACACUGACUGCCGAGGAUUCCCAUGACAGGGUUCUACGUAACUGACGUAGAUACCCAUAAAAUACCCAAAAAAUCAAUCGAAUAAAAUGCACAAUACCUGUUUUUACGUCAAAAGUGUGUUGAUACCUCCUAUGCUUGAUGCUUGAAUGAUUUUGGAUCAAGAAUUGAUUAAAAAAAAUUGGAUUUUGGGAUUGAAUGGAGGUGGAAAUGAAGGUGAUGAAGAAAAUAGCGUGUAGGGGGAGCAGGUGGCUGUUUCAUCGGAUGAAACAUUUCCUCGGCAGUUAACUACCGAGGAUUUCCUGGGCAGUUAACUGCAGCCGGAGUUCAAAUUCCUCGGUAGUUAACUGCCGAAGGGGUAAAAUAAUAUUUUACUAGUGUGGCACAACCUUAUCACAUGUGGGAACAACAAUUCUCAUUGUUAAUAACUACUUCCUCACUCUGAUUUCGCAAACACACAUUUGCUCCUACAGUCAUCAAUUCUAUCAUUUUUUUUAUUAACAACUUCUCUAUCUAUUGUUCCUGUUAACAAAAAAAUUUCUCUAUCCAUUGUUAUUCUUAUCUCUCCAUUAAUUCAUUUCAUGCUCAACCAUUUUUACUCAAAAAAAUAGGACAUUUCAUCAGGAAUAAUGUUGUCAACUUACAGUAAAUCAUUCGUACUUCCUACAAUUGUAUGUACAUGACUUUAUUCUCUCAACACCUGAAAAAACUUUCGGUUCUUCUAUUUUUUCUUUCCUUUCAAUUUUCCAAUAUCACUUUUAUACUCUUUUAUUUCUUCUCUGUAUACAUUCUUCUAUCUCUUUGGUUAUGAAGCUUCUUACUUAAAAUUGUUGCUAAUCUCUCUAUACCUUUUUUUUUUUUAUUGUUGUUAAUCACUCUUUUUUUCUUCCUUUCUUAAAGUAAUUUUUUUUCCUAAAAUUAUCUCAUCCAUUGAUUUUCGGAAAAAAUCUUUUAGGGGGUGUUUGUUUCAAGGUUAAGAAUGACAUUCCCGGGAAUACAUGGCUAGGGAAUGAUUAUACCCAUGUUUGUUAUGAGGUUGAGAAAAAAAUAUUCCUGGGUAUAAAGGUUCCUAGGAAUGGAGUAACUUCCUAUAACUUCCAUUAUUCCCAUGAAUAUAUUCCCAUAUAAAGAGAUGGGAAUGUGCAUUCCCAUGAUAUUAUGCAUAGAUUUAAAAAAAAAAAAUUGUAACUUCCAAUUUUUUCAGGAAUGUCAAGUUAUUUGCCAAACACUUUUUUUAACAAAUACCCAAGAAUCAAAUUUUCAUAUUUUCAUUCCCGGGUAUGUUAUUCCUGGGAAUAAUUUGUGUUUCCCAAAAACAAACGCCCCCUUAGUAACCGGUUUUUUUUUUUUGGAAACUAAACUGUUGAAUUUGGUAUCUUUUUUCAAUUUAAUGGAAACAAAAUUGUAGUAAUUUACUUCCUUAAAAAAAACUGUAGUAAUUUACUCUCUCCCUCUUUUUCUCAAUUUCUAUCUCAAACUAUUCCAUCAUGAACUUAUUUUAAUCAUCAGUUUUUUAUACUUGCUUCAUUUAUUAUUGAAGUACAAAUACAUAAUUGGGUGAUAUGUUUUUUGAAUUUUCACUUUGUUCUGAAAUAUUUUUACCCAAAAAAAUAGUUUUAAAACUUCAAUGAAAUGUUUUGCAUCUACUUGAAGACCCAUAUAGAAGGAACUUUAAUGAAAUGUACUAUGUCUUUGAAUAAUUUUUCUAUACUAAUGCAGUUGUAGAAUUUCCAUUUUAGUGGGGUUAAGGAUGAAUUACGAAUUCAUAUUAGAACUCUGCUCUUCUCCCAUCACAUUUUGCUCGCGUCCAGCAUAAUUUUCAGUUAUACCCUUGCGUGAUUUAAGUCAUACACCACUGGCCUAGGCGUGAGUUAACUCACGCACGUUGGCUGGUGGUCUGAGUUCAUGAACAAACGAUUUUUGGACGGUGGUCAGGUUUUUAACCUUCAAUCUACACGUUUUUUUUACAACUUCUACACGUUUUUUUUUAUCACAUUUAUGGUGGUUAUAACCUAUACUACCAUUCCCACCUAUAAAUACCCCUCCAUACUUCCCUAUUUUCUCACACCAUAUCACUUUCUCUCCCUCCUCACUCUCUCCCUCUAUUUCUCUUCUUUUUUUUCUUCAGUAGUCUCUAGUCACUUGCGGUAAAUGGUGGCCAGUUAUGAGGUAAAUGGUGAGUACCCAACUUGGAGGAAGUGAUCAACCCUUGGGAUAAAAUUAACUUUGCUUCUUUUUACCCCAAAAACUUUUUACCGUGGGUAAAAAGAAUCUUCUUAGGGUAUAAAAAGAACCAGAUUUAGAUGUAGCGCAAGGGUUGAUGAUGUAUUUUCCCCAAGAAGGAUGCUCACUAUUUACCCCAAGACUGAUCAUUAUUUACUCCAAGAGGGUAAAAAGAAAAUAAGUAUAUUUAGUGAAUUCGAAUAAAUGUUUCAAUUAUUGUAUGAAUUCUAUUAAUAAGAUGAGAUGUUGUUAUAUGUAUUAAUUUUGUUCAUUUCUUUUUAUUUAUAUUUGCUUUUAUUUUCUGAUUUUGUAUUUAAUGAAUAAAUCCGAAUAAAUAUUAAUUUAGUUCAUUUCUUUUUAUUUAUAUUUGUAUUUAUUUGAUGAAUAAAUUCGAAUAAAUAUUUAUUUUAAGUACAAGCGUUAGUUAACUUACGUUCAAGACUUAUCAUUCAACUAUUAAUGGUGUUGAGGUUGUACGUGGUUAGAUAAGAUGAUUUUAUACUAUUUCACAUCCACACCUCAUACUUCUGGACGAGGAUCUUCAUGUUCUGAGGUCAACUGAGUAGGAGGCCCUUGAUGAGAUUGCUGCUGAGCAGAAGGGAGAGCAUGGGUAACUAGAGCUGAACGGAAUGUUGGGUCGUAUCAGAGACCGUGUCUUAUAUGUUAUGGGUAGUGGUGUGGUGGAUAGAGGGAGCGUUGAAUGAGAGUUUAGAAGCAAUUUUGCAAGAGGUUUCAUGGAGGGCGGGUUUAUCGUUGUAGACGUGGUAGGUGUUGUAACAGCCCGACUUUUAGCUAGAUUUAUUUUAAUUAUUUUUAUUAUGUGUUUGUGUGUGAUUAUUUGUGCUUGUGUGUAAUUAAUUGUCAUCUGGUGCAUUUACGUGGGUUUUCGUAUUAGAAGGGUAGUUUGGUAAUUUUGUGAGGAUGAGUAAAAUUAUAAUUUAGUGGGAAUUGCUUUUAGUAAUUAGUGAGAAUGGUUAUUUCAUUAAGUUACUAGAGAAAGUCGAGAUUUUACCGUUAGUGACAUUUUACCGUUAUUAAUUAAAAUAUCGUUUGGAGUGUAGUAAUAUUUUUGGUUUGAAUAGAAACGGGUUAAGCCCACUAGAAACUAAGUUAAGCCCAUUAGUAGAGAUAACACUAGGGUAGUGUUAGAAGAACCAAUUCAUUUCAUUUUCACAAACAUUUCUAGAGAGAGAAAGUGGGAAGAGAAGAUAAGGGUUUGGAGAGAAGGACUUGAAGAAUCCAAUUGGGAAAGCUUAGGAGCUAAAUUAAAGCCUAGGUUUGGUCUAAUCUUCAUCUAAGGUAAGGGGGUUAGUCUUUAUCAUAAUCAUGUUCAUUCUUUGCAAUUUUUCAUGAUUUGGAUGAAAUGGGUUGAAAUGAAUGAACGGAUAAUUGUUGCUAAAUUCGUGCUCCAACUUUGAUGAUAUGUUUGUAUGCAUGAAUUGAUGAUAAUUGUAUGAUUGUUGGUUAAAUUAUAUGUUUGAAUAUGUGAAAAUGAAAAGUUAUGAAAAUUGUGCAAAAUGGAUGAAUUGACAUGUUGUUGUUGAAUUAUGAUGGAGGGUAUGAUUAUAUGUUAUGAUUGUAGUUGAUUGAUGAUGUUGAUCUCAUUUCAUGACUUGGGUAUGAUUUAUGUUGAGAUGUUGUUGAGAAUUGUGUUGAAUUUGAAUAGAUGAAUUGUGGUUGUUUGAGAACUUAUUGUUUUGAGAAAAAAUUAUUUUAAACAAUUUCAUAACUUAUGCAAAUGCCCCGAAACGAGCGAGUUCGAUGUGUUAGAGCCUCGGGUUAUGCCUCGGAUCACUUUUGAUGAUUGAGGAUUUUAAACGUUCGAUUUUUGAUCGAAAUUGGCGAAAACCCGCGGCCGAGACACGCGAAAACGCGCGUUUACGGAGCGCUGGGCGCUCACUUACAGGGAGUCAGCGGGAACGUUGUUCCGUGUCCGGGUGCUUGGGGGUGGUCAUGCAGGGGUCCUAGGCGAUCGUUUUGAAGUGUUCUUUUGCUGUUUUCACCUACUUUUCUACUGGAACACGUUUGGCUUUGUCGGAACUUUAAUUUUCUAAAUGGUUUGAAACUUGAGUUUGUGUCGUUUCGGUUUUUCGGAAAUUGUUGGAACUUGGUCUUGGUGAACAAAAGGAGUUGCAAGCUUAGUCUACAGUUCUUAUGGGCUUAGGCAAUGCUUGUAAGGUUGGUACAAUGUCGUAAUCAUGUCAAACUUGAUUUUCGGGUGGGAAUGUGGAAUGUAUAAACUUGGGAUUUUCUCAUACGAACUUAGGCUAACCUUUGAACUAAUGAUCGAUAGUUUGUAAGUGGCCUAUGCUCAUACUUAUAUGAUUGAUUAAGAUUGAAUUGUAGGAUUUCAAACUUGAAUAAGUUGCCUAGCUUUGAAAAUUAUCAAUGUUGGCCGUUUGCCACAUGAUUUGGAUUUUUGGCGGAAAUGUUUCUUUAGCAAAUUGUUUUGUGAGUUAUUGAGAUUAUUCUUGUAUGACUAAGUGAAGUUGUAUGAAUGAGUGAUUAUAUUUUGGAUACGAUGUUUAUCAUGAGAUGUUGUAUGUUCUCUUACUUGGAAUAUGAGAAUCCUUGAAUGGUGAAACUAUAUGUGAUAGUUGAUGUUGAAUGAUUAUAUGUUGAAUAUGAUAUCUAUCAUGAGAUGUUGUUUUUCCCUAUUACUUGGAAUAUGAGAAUGCUUGAAAUGGUGAAACUAUAUGAUAUAGUUGAUGUUGCUUGACAUUGUUAAUUAUUGAUAAUUAUGUUGAAGUGUGAUGGUGAAUACUAUGAUUUAAUUGUGUGUGGGCAUGUUUUCUUAGUAAUGCAAUGUUGAGGAGAUAAUCAAUAUAAUUGGGUGUUGUCCUAUAUAUUGAGUUGAGAUUGAGAAUUGUUGUCGCAUUAUCGAGUCAUUACACAUGUCCAUGCAUCAUAGUCGUUGUUGCUGUAAAAGGGAUGACUCUUUUACUUCGAGAUUAUUGUAAGGCAGAGGUGAGCCUUACAUGCGAUGUUGACUUGUCCAUCGAAGGUGACGACCUUAUAGAGAUUUGGUACCGCAUGCAUUUAUGUGUCCAUAAGUGCAUAUCAUAGCAUGAGUCCUAUGUGAAUUAUGUGAUUGGUGAUGAAUUGAGAUGAAUGAAUGUUGCUAAUGAUUGUCUGUAAAUGAUGUUGUGAAUGAAUAUUUAUGAUUGGAUAAUUAUUCAUGUGAUUGAUAUAUGUGGAUAUGAACUAGCAAGUUGUGAUAUAAGUAUUUAUGCAUGACUAUUAUUAUUCAAGUACAUGAUAUUAUUGAAUUUGAUUAUUAUCUGGAUUAUGAUAAUGUAAUGCUUACCCCCAGUGGUUUUAACCGCCUACUUGCCUGUAUGGGUGAGUAGACGUUGUGCAGGAGUAGUCUCGGUGAGUCUUUGCUUGGGUAUCGGGAGCUUCCUCCGAUAUCGGUGUCGUGUCGGCUCUGAUCUAGGCUUGUCAUGUCGGUCUAGAUUAGGCUGUUUAUAUUUUCAUUUGGAUUAUUAUUUUGUUGAUGACUACCCGUAUGUUUGGGUUUUGAGAUUUAUCUUUGGAAUAUGAUUUAUUUGCUCAUGGCAUGUAUAUAUUUGAUCACUCUGAUUUAUAUUCCGCUGUAACUGUCGAGGUUUACAUACAUGUCUAUCGGUUUUUGAAUUUUGAAUAAGACGUAAUCUCUAUUUCUUGAAUAAAUGUAUUAUUCGCAUGUUUAAUUGCUUUAAUAGAAAUAGGAGCGUUACAGGUGUGGCAGGGGUCUUAGAGCCACCUAAUAGUUUUAUGUUGUUGUAGUAGGGUAGUGGUGUGGUGGAUAGAGGGACCGUUGAAUGAGAGAGUUUAGAACCAAUUUUGCAAGAGGUUUCAUGGAAGGUGGAUUUAUCGUCGUAGACGUGGUAGGUGUGCAGGAGUCUUAGAGCUACCUAGUAGUUUUAUGUUGUUGUAGUAUUAUGUACAAAUUUAAUGUUUUUAAUUUUUAUGUUUGAAUAUUUGGUUUAACCUACGUAUAAUUUGUGUUUAAUUCAUACAAUCUAUGUCUAGUUUGUGUUGUUUAGUAUCAUUUUUUUAUAACUUCAUGAAUGCAUGUUUAUAUCAUAUAAUUAUAUAAUUUGUAUGUAUCAGAGAAAAAACAUAGAGUUUGUCUCUGUUCUGAUACCAUUUGAAUUAUAUAAUCAUUACGGUUUUAUAACAUUUUUUUUAUUAUAUAAUCUAAAAUGUGUCUUUUUUAAAACCACAAAUUGCUAUUCUGGAUGGUGACACUUUUCGGAUUAUGAAAGCUGAAAUAUUGUAAGGGGUUUAUGAUUUAUAUAAUCCGAAAUACAUGUUUUACUAAGACUAAUACAAGCAUUUCUAGGAUGCUUUGUCUUCCAACUGAUUUUAUAUUGUUGAGAUUAUAUAAUAAUCAUGUAUUUUGAAGAAAAAAAAUAGGGCACGUCAGAAUCAGAUAAGGUUCGUAGAGAAGCUCCUUACUCUUAUAGAUGGCAAGCUUGCUGUUUAACCCAGUUAUAUAGGAGACUACAUCUCACGCCAAGAUGAAUUAAUUGGCUUAUUGCAAUUAGUGGUGUCGAGCCUUCUUGACAAACUUUUCAAGAUGUUAGAAAGCCUUAGAUUAUACCUAUUGGGUCAUCAUUUACAAGUUUUGUUUUCUUUUCAAUGAAAACAAAUUAUAUUAAUGUCAAUAUGUCAUCUACUAGCUAACUUGAAAAUGGAGUGACAUGCAUAAUAUUAAUAAGAGUAUUUGAGUAAAAGAAUUUAAUUUAUCAUUAAACAAAUUUACUCAUUGGUUUUUAAAAAUAUAUACAUAACCUUAGAAGACAUGAGAUAUGCUGUGAAAGUGAUUCAAAAUUGGAGAAAUUGAGUUUGCCGAAGCUAUCAAAAUUGGAGCCCGAUUUGGAGAAAUCGGAGCAUGAUUUUUCGGAGCAGAAUUGACACUUUUAUUCAUAAAAAAUCGGAGCACGAUCUGGCAAAAUCGGAGCACGAUUUCGCGCAGAAGAAUAAAAAUAAAACGUAUUUUUAUGGGCCUAAUUUGGUUUCAAUUUAUGAAGGAUGCUUUUACUAUAAAUAUAGACAUUGUAUCAGUGUAAACCUUGAGAUAGAGGGGGCUGAAACAAGGGUUUAGAAAGACAACAACAAAACUAGGGAUUGUAUAGAGUUUGUCUCUUUGGAACAAACACUAGGGUUUGAGGGUUGAUUCACCUUGGGAAACACUAUUAGGAUUGAGUCUCUUGGUUACGGGAAGAGAUUAGGGCUUUGAGUAUAAUUAGGCGGGAGACUUAUUCUUGUAACACAUUGAUAUCUCUAUUGUAACGUUACUUAUCAUAUAGUGAAACGGAUGACUGCUCUCUCCCCCAGACUAGGUCAAUUUGGACCGAACUAGGUCAACAAAUUAUUUUGUGUUCUCUCUUCCUUUCUCUCUCGCUGUUUUCUACUUUUGGUUUGUGUUUAUAAUUGUUCCAUACACUUUGUUUUCAUUGCUUGACUAUCCCUUGCACCACACAUCAAAUUUAUUAUGGUGUGUUUUCUCAUCGAAUUCGCAACAAGAUGGAGGAUAGGGUAUACCAAAUAUAAAUUAUCAUGAUUAUAUUAUCAGGGCCAAUCAAGCUUUCCAUUACAUAAGUAGAGUCACAUUGCAAUUAACUCAUCAAGCUUUCCAUUAGUUAUUCUUUACUUGAUUGAAAAUUACUCAUUAUUACAUUUUUUUUACAAGUUUUUUUUUUUGUUUCACAAGUCACGAGAGGUGCAACACAAGGACUUUCCAAAAGGUCAUCCAUCUUAAUACUACUCUCGUCCAAAUACGCUUAACUGCGGAGUUCUGAUGGGAUCCGGUGCAUUAGUGCUGGUAUGAUCGCACCUAUUACUCAAUAUUACAUGGCAUCAAUUCAUCCAACAUGAUAUUUAUUGAGUACUCUUCCUGUCCCACAAGAAACAAAUAACCACCUUCUUCAAUCACCUUAACACCACUCUCAUUUGCUCUACUAAGAUGCUCACAAACACUAACUUCAAAUCCAACUUCACCCUUUCCACCUCCUUCCACCGUCACACUCUCAAACCCUACCAACUGUUUUACUGGAUUUCCAUUUCUACCUUUCUUUGGCUUCACAAACAGCAACACAGGAUGCUUCCCAGCCAUGCUUCCAGUAUUUGUAAUUCCCAAUGUGACAGAAAUUGACAUGGUUUUACAUGUUUCUUCGCCUAACUCUGAAACAAGUUUGUAAUUGAUUGUUUCAGAGUUUUCGAGUAUUGAAUAAGUGGUUGAUUGGUUGAUGUGAAGGUUGUUAUUUUUGACGGAAAUGAAGUUGUAGGAAUAAUUUGAGUAGCUUAGGCCAUAGCCGAAUUCGUAGACCUUUGGACCUGUGUAGAAACGGUAGGUUCUACCGGGAUAGCCUGAUGAUGGAUCAGCUCUCAUUCUCAUGUCUGUCAUUGGUAUUUUGAUAAAAUCUUUUGGGUACCAUGUCAUUGGUAGUCUCCCCCCUGCAUUGCAGUGAUUAAUUAAUAAAGCAUCCCAUUAGUUGAGUAAUAGUAGUUUUAGGAAGAUAUACUUAAAAAAGUUAUUCGAGGCAUAUGUAUAUAGUGUAUUUUGCUCAACAAGAAAAAUCUUACAAAACUAUAAUCGAUGUUUCAAAUUGUGGACAUUUUUAAGUUACAUCGAAAACAUUUGUUCAAUAUAUUUGAUAUUGCUACAAUCGUUGUAUAGAAAAUAGCCUUCGUUUGCCAUCACAAUCACAAUUGCAGACUAUUUUAAAACUGUGGCUGCAACUGCAAUUGUGGUUGUGACCUUAACUAUUUUCUUGGAAUCUGGAUCCUCUGCUGCCAUCUAGUCCAUUCAACCAAAUCUCAAUCGUUGGUUCAAGGUUCAUUCUGCAUCCGGUGAUUGAGAUUUAGUUGCAUUUAAUAAAUGGAUGCAGAGGAUCGAAGCCGAAUUUUUCAGAUUCUUUCCCUUGUUUCCCAAUAUAAAAUAAAAGGUUAAAUAAGUAAAUGAUCCCCUUAUAUAUACCAACAUUUGAUUUUAGUCCCCCUAAAGUAUUUCAUAGGCUUUUGGUCCCUCUAAAAUUUUUCAUCUAUAAAAUUAGUCCCUGCUCUACAUUGAGUAUUACACUAGAGCAGAGACUAAUUUCAUAAAUGAAAAAUUUAGAGGGACCAAAAGCCUAAAGAAUAUUUAAGGGGGACUAAAAUCAAAUGUUGAUAUAUUUAGGAGGAUUAUUUACUUAUUUAACCCUAAAAUAAACAAUAAAAAAUUCCCUUUUUGCUUGACUAAAUAUUCUCUCAUUUAAUGGUUAAGACUUUCCGGAAUCUAUGAAGUUUAUACAUGUUUUAAGGAUCUUGGUCAUGCGCAGCCACAACUACAUGACUGUGUCUAGUUAGCAACAUCUGAACCAUUCAAUCUAGAUUGAGCUGUCUACAUUUCAAACUUGAUAUUUUAGAUUUAAAAAAAUCAAAAUCGUCAUUGAAAUUUGAACCGUCCAAUCUCCCGAUGUAACUUGACUGCGUACAGUAACACUGCAAACAAUCCAAAUCCAUUUUUUACCAUAUUAUGUCUGUUUAUUUGUCAAUGGAUAAAGCAUAGAAGAAAACAAACCUGGGUUAUAGUCACCAAACACAACCUGAGCAAGAGCCCUUCCACCAAGUUCACCAGGAUAACCAGCCCAAAUAAUCCCUCCAAUUUUGUCAUUAUUCUUAGCAAAAGUAAUAUCAACAGGACCACCGCACAAAAGCACCAAAAUAACAGGCUUCUUAGAAGCUUUCGCAACACUGUUAAUAAGUUUCUGUUGCUUACCAGGCAACUCUAAAUGAUCUCUAUCAAGUGUUUCCGUCUCUUGACUUUGGUCUAAUCCCAUAACCAAAAUAACAUAAUCACUUAUUUUAGCAACUUCAACUGCUCGGUCAAUUUCGGCUGAAGCACACUUUGUUCCAUCAGUACAUCCAGAAUGAUAAUGUGUCUGGCUUGCAUAAGUGUAAAAGCCUUUUAAGAUUGAUACAUUUUUACAAGGAGGACCAAUAUAGUUUCCUAAAAGAACUAUUGAUGAUUUAUUGGCAUUAGGGCCUAUAACUCCAAGGGUAUUCACUCUUGGAAGUGGGAGAAUUGAGGCAGUGUUUUUCAAAAGUACAAUGCCACUUCUUGCAGCUUCUAGAGCAAGGUCUAGGUUUUCUUUAGAGCAUACUUGAUUUGGACCAAUUCUGCCAUAUUGGAGUUUUGUUGGAUUCCCAUCAAACAAGCCUAGUCUUAUUCUAAUGGUAAACAGAUUGUGUAGGGCACGGUCGAUUUGAGAUAUAGGAAUUUUUUUUUGUAAUACUGCUGACUUUGCAUGCUUUGUCAUGUAGUUACCACACUCUAAAUCCAUCCCUGAAAAUUUUUGAUCACACAACAUGUAAAUCACCACGGUUCAUCAAGAUUAUUCCUUUUUGAGACAAAAUCUCUUAUGUUG